rnacentral:rRNA from 1 species
GUUGUAAGGUUAAGUAAAUAAGCGUAUACGGUGGAUGCCUUGGCAGUCAGAGGCGAUGAAGGACGUACUAAUCUGCGAAAAGCAUCGAUAAGCUGAUUUGAAGCAUUAUUAGUCGAUGAUAUCCGAAUGGGGAAACCCAAUGUAUUAUUUUAUACAUUAUCGUUAUUUAAAUUCAUAGAAUAACGAGGCAAACCAGGAGAACUGAAACAUCUAAGUAACCUGAGGAAAAGAAAUCAAUUGAGAUUUUCUUAGUAGCGGCGAGCGAAAAGGAAAUAGCCCAGAGACUUAAUCAAUUAUUAUAUUAGUAAAAAUGUCUGGAAAGUCAUACGAAACAGGGUGAUAGUCCCGUAUAUUAAAAUAUAUUAAUUGUGAUCUCGAAGAGUAGAACGGGACACGUGGUAUCUUGUUUGAAUAUGGGGGGAUCAUCCUCUAAGGCUAAAUACUACUGACUGACCGAUAGUGAACUAGUACCGUGAGGGAAAGGUGAAAAGAACCCCGGUUAGGGGAGUGAAAUAGAACCUGAAACCGUAUACGUAUAAGCAGUAGGAGCAUUUGUUAUUUUAAAAAUGUGACUGCGUACCUUUUGUAUAAUGGGUCAGCGAGUUAUAUUUUGUAGCAAGGUUAACUGUAUAAGGGAGCCGUAGGGAAACCGAGUCUUAAAAGGGCGUUAAGUUGCAAGGUAUAGACCCGAAACCCGGUGAUCUAGCCAUGAGCAGGUUGAAGGUUAGGUAAUACUAACUGGAGGACCGAACCGACUAAUGUUGAAAAAUUAGCGGAUGACUUGUGGUUAGGGGUGAAAGGCCAAUCAAACCGGGAGAUAGCUGGUUCUCCCCGAAAGCUAUUUAGGUAGCGCCUCGUGUUAUUCAUAUUCGGGGGUAGAGCUCUGUUUCGGUUAGGGAGUCAUCCAGACUUACCAAUCCGAUGCAAACUUCAAAUACCGAAUAAUGUUAUCACGGGAGACACACAGCGGGUGCUAACGUCCGUUGUGGAGAGGGAAACAACCCAGAUCGCUAGCUAAGGUCCCUAAGUUAUAAUUAAGUGGGAAACGAUGUGGGAAGGCAUAAACAGCCAGGAUGUUGGCUUAGAAGCAGCCAUCAUUUAAAGAAAGCGUAAUAGCUCACUGGUCUAGUCAUCCUGCGCGGAAGAUGUAACGGGGCUAAAUUAUACACCGAAGCUGCGACAAUAAAUUUUAUAUUUAUUGGGUAGGGGAGCGUUCUGUAAGUCGUUGAAGGUAAAUUGUAAAAUUUAUUGAAGAUAUCAGAAGUGCGAAUGCUGACAUGAGUAACGAUAAAAUAGGUGAAAAACCUAUUCGCCGAAAGACUAAGGGUUCCUGUCCAACGGUAAUCGAGGCAGGGUAAGUCGACACCUAAGAUGAGGCUGAAAAGCGUAGUCGAUGGAAAACAGGUUAAUAUUCCUGUACUCAAUGUUAUUGUGAAGGGGGGACGAAGAAGGUUAGGUUAUCCAAGUGAUGGUUGUCUUGGUUUAAGCGUUUAGAUGGAUUAUCUAGGAAAAUCCGGAUGAUCAUUAAUUAAACAUUGAGGCGUAAUGACGAGAUACUUUAUUGUAUUGAAGUAAUUAAUACCAUACUUACAAGAAAAUCCUCUAAACUCUAGAUAACAUAGAAUCGUACUCUAAACCGACACAGGUGGUCAGGUAGAGAAUACUAAGGCGCUUGAGAGAACUCGGGUGAAGGAACUAGGCAAAAUAGUGCCGUAACUUCGGAAGAAGGCACGCUGGCAUGUAAGUAAAAAAAUUUACUUUUAGAGCUGAAGCCAGUCUAAGAUAACAGCUGACUGCAACUGUUUAUUAAAAACACAGCACUGUGCAAACACGAAAGUGGAAGUAUACGGUGUGACGCCUGCCCGGUGCCGGAAGGUUAAUUGAUGAAGUUAUCGUUGUUAUUUUUUACGAAAAGCUUUUGAUCGAAGCCCCGGUAAACGGCGGCCGUAACUAUAACGGUCCUAAGGUAGCGAAAUUCCUUGUCGGGUAAGUUCCGACCUGCACGAAUGGCGUAAUGAUGGUCAGACUGUCUCCACCCGAGACUCAGUGAAAUUGAAAUUGCUGUGAAGAUGCAGUAUACCCGCGGCAAGACGGAAAGACCCCGUGAACCUUUACUAUAGCUUGAUACUGAAUAUUGAAUAUUGAUGUGUAGGAUAGGUGGGAGACUAUGAAAUAUUAGCGCUAGUUAGUAUUGAGUCAACCUUGAAAUACCACCCUUUAAUAUUUACUAUUCUAACCUAGAUCCGUUAUCCGGAUCAGGAACAGUGUCUGGUGGGUAGUUUGACUGGGGCGGUCUCCUCCCAAAGAGUAACGGAGGAGCACUAAGGUCAGCUAAUCACGGUCGGAAAUCGUGAGGUUAGUGCAAAGGCAUAAGCUGGCUUAACUGUAAGAGUGACGGCUCGAACAGAUGCGAAAGCAGGUCUUAGUGAUCCGGUGGUUCUAUAUGACAGGGCCAUCGCUCAACGGAUAAAAGGUACUCCGGGGAUAACAGGCUAAUACCGCCCAAGAGUUCAUAUCGACGGCGGUGUUUGGCACCUCGAUGUCGGCUCAUCACAUCCUGGGGCUGCAGUAGGUCCCAAGGGUAUGGCUGUUCGCCAUUUAAAGUGGUACGCGAGCUGGGUUUAGAACGUCGUGAGACAGUUCGGUCCCUAUCUGUCGUGGGCGCUGGAAGAUUGAAAGGAGUUGCUCCUAGUACGAGAGGACCGGAGUGAACGCAUCUCUGGUGUUCGGGUUAUCAUGCCAAUGGUAUUGCCCGGUAGCUAAAUGCGGAUAAGAUAAGUGCUGAAAGCAUCUAAGCGCGAAACUUUCCUUAAGAUUAUUCUUCCCUGGAUAUAUUUAUUAUUUAUAUAUAUCCCUAAAGGGACGUUAAAGACUAUAACGUUGAUAGGCUGGGUGUGUAAGCAUAGUAAUAUGUUGAGCUAACCAGUACUAAUAAUCACCCGUGAGUCUUAACCUUACAACACCAGAAUCGUU